GGGUUCGAUUCUGGCUCAGGAUGAACGCUGGCGGCGUGCUUAACACAUGCAAGUCGAACGGGAUCCAUCAGGCUUUGCUUGGUGGUGAGAGUGGCGAACGGGUGAGUAAUGCGUGACCGACCUGCCCCAUACACCGGAAUAGCUCCUGGAAACGGGUGGUAAUGCCGGAUGCUCCAGUUGAUCGCAUGGUCUUCUGGGAAAGCUUUCGCGGUAUGGGAUGGGGUCGCGUCCUAUCAGCUUGACGGCGGGGUAACGGCCCACCGUGGCUUCGACGGGUAGCCG
rnacentral:rRNA from 1 species